GCCGCUUGAAAUCCGCGUGUACCAGGACUGGUGCCGAGGGCGUCUGUGAGCGGACCGGCCAUCUCAGCAUAGUUUUUCAUAAAGCGCCGGUAACAGCCCGCAGUUGCCAGGAAACUACGCAAUUCUCGAACAGAUCGCGGCUCGGGAAUGCGCAAAAUGGCCGACACACGAUCCGGAUCCAUCUUCAGGCUCGGCCUUCUCCACCAACUGAAUUUUGCCCCUUCUGUGAGCGUGAUUCGCCUGCUUGGAUCGCACCCCUCUUCUCGUUUCCCUCGCAAUUCGGACAGUUUGGACAAUAUGCAUCGGGCUUUCCACACCGGUAGCAGAAAAUUCGCCUCUCCGAUGCCAUACAG